UUUAUUUAUCUUAUCUACUAGGAUUACGCUAGAAUAGUGAAGAUAAAGCCAAAAGAAAUCCCAACCCUUUUCCCCCCCUCUCUCUUGGCCUUAAACACUCAAGAAAUACAUCUUCAAUUUUCAUCAAGUUUUCAAAAUUUGUUGAAGAUAGGAGCUGAAUCUUAGUUAAUCUUGGAGGGGAGUGAUCUUUUGGUGGUCUGAGCUUGUAUUUAAGAGGGCCUCCAACUGCCGAGCAGAGUUCCACUCAGGUUGACCGACACACUUGAGUCAAGAAUUGAGCCUCUCUCUCAGCCGAACCACGUAAAAACCCAACCCUCAGCCGACGCGACUAUUCUCAACCCACGCUCAACCGAUGCCCGUCCACGGUGAACCCAGGACCGUCGACGCUCAACCCCGACCGUCAACUCUCAACCGGCAACCACUCUGAGGCGACCCGAAGCGAAAAUGCCCAAGGGAACUCCACAUCUAAUAAUUCCAGUGUCGGACCAUUACACAUGCCGUGUCACAUGGCGCGGCGGUAGUUAUUACUACACGAAGAUUAAGGCUAAAUUUCAAGAAUUCAACCUAUGGGAUAAGGUGAGUGAAUCCCCUUUCAAACAGUUUUUCGAGAGAGAGCCCAUUCAAUUUUUAGGAGCAUUUUUUCAUCAGUUGAUGCUUCACAAAAUCAAAUCUGACAAGCCGGACGAGGUGCAUUUUUAUGUGGGAAGGAAGAGAUGUAGAUUUGGCAGGGUGGAGUUCGGCUUGGUGAUCGGGUUAAACUUGUUGCCCGGCCCUACUGAGGAAGACAUCAAAGAGAAAGGAAGUUCUGACCGGUUGAUUAUGGAAUAUUUCAACCGUAAUCCUUCGAUCACCAACUGCGCAAAGUUUUUUAGAGCUGCACAGAAGUUGAUGAUGUCUACAAGUUGGGGAUGGCCUUGUUUGUUAUGGGCGUCCUCACUGGUAAGGAGGAGAAGACUGUCGUUCCUCCUUUUGUCAAAAGAAUGGUUGAUAACCUUCCAUUCUUCUACGAGUACCCCUGGGGAAAGAUUUCUUACACCAAGCUGAUAAAAACUUGUAAUAAUGACUACUUGGAUGUGAAAAAUAAGAUGUUGAAAAAGAUUAAAAAGGGAGUUACUCAGAAGGAGGCAAAAUACUCAUCCUACGGCUAUACUGCAGCGUUACAGUAUUGGGCAUACGAGGCCAUCUUAUAGCUGGGCAACGAGUAUGCAGUGAGGAAGUCGCAUCGUUUUCCAAGAAUGGUGAACUGGGAGAGUAAGCCGAACACUACACUCGAGAAGGAUGAAGUGAUCAGAUUAUUUGCUAAAAAUUUGACAGUGUACUCCAUGUUAUGUCCCCGACCGAAUGAGGUUGAGUUUGUCAGUUACAUCACUGGGGGUCAGCCGCCGUUAUUUGUUGACUUGGAGGAACUUGUGUUGGGUGAGGAUGGGCAACCAACAUAGGAUGCUUUGCGAAGCUAGGCCGAAAAGCUUGCCUCCACAUUGGAAGAACGAGCGGACGCAGCCCAAAUAUUUAAAGACUCUACACCACCUCCACCGUCUCCACCACGUGCACCGUCUGCAGUUCGAGAUGGGUCUGGUGUUGACCCAUAUGCUGCUUCAGUUCCAGAUGAGUGUGGUGUUGACCCAUCUGCAACAUCACAGGAUCCUCCUGUUCCCCCGUCAGUUUCUAUUCCCAGCACCUCAGAGGCUCGCGAUCCAGUAUACCCUGCCAUUUUGGCAAGGUUGGAGACUGUGGAGAGGGGACAGAUUGCUUUGAGGGAAGGGCAGAUCGCUCUGCUAAGAGAACAAACAACGAUUAUGGAUCAGUUGAAGACCAUAAUGAGGCUCCUGCAAAAUCCUGGAAGGCCGGCAGCAGAUUCACAGUCACAGCCACAGCCACAACCAGAAGAAGAGGCUCAGUCACCAGAAAAUGACUUCAUUCUCCCAAAUGAUUAGAAACCGGAUGAUGAUGACAUGUUCUGUACACCUGAGAAGACGAAUAUCACCAGCAUCGCGGAUACUCAAGAUUUUGAGGUACAGGUAUUAGAGACAGCUCCAGAACUCGUGGAGAAUCGGAGGAAGAGAAAGCGACCUAGGUGGUUCGAUGAGUACACUGAAAUGAAAAAGAAGUCUAGGGCUACUUUGACACUCGUGAAUGCGGACCCACUUAGAGUGGUUGAUCGGAAGCUGCUUAGGACUUUUCACAGUUAAUUACUCGGCCAGAUUGGGAACAAGUACCCGAGAGAGUGCUUCACCGGUAGACACGAUUCGGCUUGGUUCCUUAAACUACAUACUCCGAGGAGGACAUGGCUUGGGGACGAUAAUUUGGAUGCGACAUUUCAUUUGAUGAGGAGGCGACAACACUUUUAUCCGGAGCUCUACACAAAUAGAUGUGUCAUCAUGCCGUGUAUUUUCUCAGCAGGAGUUAUUGCUCGGUGGGAAGCUGCGGGUGAUGACCAGGCUAAAUAUCAGUGGGAUGAGGGUAUAUUAUAUUUGAUUUGAGGGGAUGAAGGUCAAUACUUGGCCAGUUGGAAGAAUAAGGAGAGAAUAUAUAUGGCCCUCUACUUCGAUAGUGCAAGGCAUUGGGUGACACUAGAGGUAAAUCUGGAUCAUUGGUUGUUGAACAUAUUUAACUCGAGCCUCGGAUCGAUUUCCCCGAAUGAAUUCAAGAGUCACUUGGCAAUGUGGGAAAAAUUACUACCAACUUUGAUGCUGCAGGCUGGCCUAUUCGAGACUCAUGACAUGAUCCUCGUGCCUCAACUUACCGCCUCAGAGAGCCAGGUUAGAAGUUUCACUUCAAAAGUCACGGACCGGGGCGUUGUUCGACGGACAAAGUCAAGGUAACUUAAUUACAAUUGAUUUUUUUGUUAUUUAACUUGAAUUUAAUUUGCAUACUUUUAUUUAUUUACUUUUUAUUGUCUCAUACAACGGUGACUGGGAGAUGUAUGUGAUAGAGCACAUCGAGCAUAGUAUGCUAGAGACUACAUUUGAUAAUGUGCACGAUGACAAUAUGAAGAAAUUUAGAGAGCGGUAGUGUGUAGAUUUGUUUUACCAGAAUUUAGCAUGAACAAAUGUAUUUUUUUUUAUUUGGUAUUUAUUAAGAUAACAAUGUAACUAGUUUUUUUCUUGGUA